AGGAAGAGGGGGAAAUACAGGAGGGUCGAAACCCAGAAAGGUAAAGGAAGAGGGGGAAAUACAGGAGGGUCGAAACCCAGAAAGGGAAAGGAAGAGGGGGAAAUACAGGAGGGUCGGAACCCAGAAAGGUAAAUGAAGAGGGGGAAAUACAGGAGGGUCAGAACCCAGAAAGGUAAAGGAAGAGGGGGAAAUACAGGAGGGUCAGAACCCAGAAAGGUAAAGGAAGAGGGGGAAAUACAGGAGGGUCGGAACCCAGAAAGAUAAAGGAAGAGGGGGAAAGAGAGACAGGAGGGUCAGAACCCAGAAAGGUAAAGGAAGAGGGGGAAAUACAGGAGGGUCAGAACCCAGAAAG